rnacentral:rRNA from 1 species
UUAAUGGAGAGUUUGAUCCUGGCUCAGGACGAACGCUGGCGGCGUGCCUAAUACAUGCAAGUCGAGCGAGGUUAAUUAGAAGCUUGCUUCUACAUAACCUAGCGGCGGACGGGUGAGUAACACGUAGGCAACCUGCCCACAAGACAGGGAUAACUACCGGAAACGGUAGCUAAUACCCGAUACAUCCUUUUCCUGCAUGGGAGAAGGAGGAAAGGCGGAGCAAUCUGUCACUUGUGGAUGGGCCUGCGGCGCAUUAGCUAGUUGGUGGGGUAAUGGCCUACCAAGGCGACGAUGCGUAGCCGACCUGAGAGGGUGAUCGGCCACACUGGGACUGAGACACGGCCCAGACUCCUACGGGAGGCAGCAGUAGGGAAUCUUCCGCAAUGGGCGAAAGCCUGACGGAGCAACGCCGCGUGAGUGAUGAAGGUUUUCGGAUCGUAAAGCUCUGUUGCCAGGGAAGAACGUCUU